rnacentral:rRNA from 1 species
CCUACGGGGUGCAGCAGUGGGGAAUAUUGGACAAUGGGCGAAAGCCUGAUCCAGCCAUGCCGCGUGUGUGAAGAAGGCCUUCGGGUUGUAAAGCACUUUCAGUGGGGAAGAAAGCCUUGGGGCUAAUACCCUCGAGGAAGGACAUCACCCACAGAAGAAGCACCGGCUAACUCCGUGCCAGCAGCCGCGGUAAUACGGAGGGUGCGAGCGUUAAUCGGAAUUACUGGGCGUAAAGCGCGCGUAGGCGGUCUGAUAAGCCGGUUGUGAAAGCCCCGGGCUCAACCUGGGAACGGCAUCCGGAACUGUCAGGCUAGAGUGCAGGAGAGGAAGGUAGGAUUCCCGGUGUAGCGGUGAAAUGCGUAGAGAUCGGGAGGAAUACCAGUGGCGAAGGCGGUCUUCUGGACUGACACUGACGCUGAGGUGCGAAAGCGUGGGUAGCAAACAGGAUUAGAUACCCUAGUAGUC